rnacentral:rRNA from 1 species
UAGGGAAUAUUGGUCAAUGGAUGCAAGUCUGAACCAGCCAUGCCGCGUGCAGGAAGAAGGCCUUCUGGGUUGUAAACUGCUUUUGCCAGGGGGUAAAAAGCCCAUGCGUGGGAAAUUGAAAGUACCUGGUGAAUAAGCCACGGCUAACUACGUGCCAGCAGCCGCGGUAAUACGUAGGUGGCAAGCGUUGUCCGGAUUUACUGGGUUUAAAGGGUGCGUAGGCGGCCUAGUAAGUCAGUGCUGAAAUACCCCGGCUUAACCGGGGGGGUGGCAUUGAUACUGCAGGGCUUGAGUACAGAUGAGGUAGGCGGAAUUGACGGUGUAGCGGUGAAAUGCAUAGAUAUCGUCAAGAACACCUAUAGCGAAGGCAGCUUACUAAGCUGUAACUGACGCUGAGGCACGAAAGUGUGGGGAUCAAACAGGAUUAGAUACCCUGGUAGUCCACACUGUAAACGUUGAUGACUCGCUGUUGGCGAUAGACAGCCAGCGG